rnacentral:tRNA from 1 species
ACUGAAUUGGCGUAAUUGGCAACGCACCAGACUCGAGAUCUGAGGACUGCAGGUUCAACUCCUGCAUUCGGAC